GGAUUGUGGCUCAGUGGUAGAGCGCUCGCCUAGCACAUGCGAGGCCCUGGGUUCAAUCCUCAGUACCA
rnacentral:tRNA from 1 species